rnacentral:lncRNA from 1 species
GGAAGAAGAGUUGCAUGUGAAGAAUAUUUUCUGAACAGAUAAUAGGAGUCGACAGGCAUGUAUAGAGUUUGGCGAUGUUAUCACAUUUGAUACCACAUAUCAAACAAACAAGUAUGAUAUGCCGUUUGCUCCUUUUUUUUUGGAGUGAACCAUCAUGGACAGUCGACACUCCUCGGAUAUGGGCUCAUAUCAAAUGAGGAUACUGAUUCAUUUGUGUGGAUUUUUCGAACAUGGAUGCAGUGCAUGAAUGGCCAAACUCCCAAUGGGAUAAUUACCGAUCAGGACAGGAAAAUGCAAAAUGUAAUUCAGAUCGUGUUUCCCAAUACGAAGUACAGUUGGUGUUUGUGGCACAUAUUGAAAAGUUGUUGAAGAAGUUUGGAUUUCACGUUCAUAAAACUUCGAUCUUUUCCACUGUACACAGAUUGGUUUAUGAUUCUCAAUUUAUUGAAGAAUUUGAAAAGGUUGACUAGAGAUGAUAGAAACAUAUAAUUUGCAUACAAUAGAUGGUUGUCAGGUCUUUUUGAGAAUAGAUCUUGUUAGGUUCCUUGCUAUUUGAGAACCACUUUUUUGGGCGGGGAUGUCAACAACUUAAAGAAGUGAGAGUAUGAAUGUAUUUUUUGAUGGAUAUGUUCAUUCAAAGACCUCUUUAAAGCAAUUUGUUGAACAAUAUAAACGAACAUUGAGAAAUAAGGUCGGGAAAAAGUUUCAAGCAGAUUUCAAGUCCUUCUCACAAAUGGUACCUUGUGUAACUAGGUAUGACAGUGUACACGAUAUCGAAAUUCAGGGAAGUUCAAGAGGAGUUCGCUGACAAAGUUUAUUGCGACCUCAUAUCUGUUAACGAGGAAUGUUUGGGGACGACAUACGAGGUACAUGAAGAUGUCAUGCAUGAUCAUCAUUGCAAGAAAAAAACAUUCUUUGUGUCAUUAUCAAGUGACAAAAGUGAAAUUAUUUGCAGCUACCACUCGUUCAAGUUUCGCGAAAUUCUAUGUAGGCAUCCGAUCACAGUACUGAUAUGUAGUGGUGUUCAAUCACUACCAGAUAUAUACAUUUUACAAAGAUAGUGGAGAGAUGUUAUUAGAUCCCAUACGAGGGUUGCAGUGAACUACGCUGGGUUGGUUAGUACCCGAGCAUAGUUGAUGUACGACAAGAUGAUUAAAUCGUUUGCUAAAUUGACGAACCUCACUUGUGAUGAUGAUGCAAAAUCUAGUUCCAUAUUAGAAUGGAUCAAAUCUCCAUGUAAACAGAUGGCCACAUUGAGGUCAGGUUUCGGGAGUACUCCCAUGUCCAAUCGUAUUACUCGUUUAGCAUCGGGGAAUGUAGCAGCGGACGAUAUGGGUAGUGAAUGCGUUAGCAUUCAAGAUCUAAAAUGUACAAAGUGAAAGGGCACUCCGAAUGUAGUUCAAAUAAAGUGAAGGUAUG